AGCCUCGGGCUUAGUGGCGGACGGGUGAGUAACGCGUGAGAAUCUACCUCCGAGAUGGGGACAACCGUUGGAAACGACGGCUAAUCCCCAAUAAGCCGAAAGGUGAAAGGGUUUCCGCUCGCAGAGGAGCUCGCGUCCGAUUAGUUAGUUGGUGGGGUAAGAGCCUACCAAGGCAGCGAUCGGUAGCUGGUCUGAGAGGAUGAGCAGCCACACUGGGACUGAGACACGGUCCAGACUCCUACGGGAGGCAGCAGUGGGGAAUUUUCCGCAAUGGGCGCAAGCCUGACGGAGCAACGCCGCGUGUGGGAAGAAGGCUCUUGGGCUGUCAACCACUUUUCUCAGGGAAGAAGUCCUGACGGUACCUGAGAAAUCAGCCUCGGCUAACUCCGUGCCAGCAGCCGCGGUAAUACGGAGGAGGCAAGCGUUAUCCGGAAUUAUUGGGCGUCCAGCGUCCGCAGGGGGCACUUCUAGUCUGCUGUCACAGGUCGGAGCUUACCUCCGGUUC
rnacentral:rRNA from 1 species